rnacentral:lncRNA from 1 species
AUGGGUACACAUGUCAGACGAUGGUACACAUGUCAGAGGAAGGUACACAUGUCAGAGGAUGGGUACACAUGUCAGAGGAUGGUACACAUGUCAGAGGAUGGGUACACAUGUCAGAGGAUGGGUACACAUGUCAGAGGAUGGUACACAUGUCAGAGGAUGGGUACACAUGUCAGAGGAUGGGUACACAUGUCAGAGGAUGGUACACAUGUCAGAGGAUGGGUACACAUGUCAGAGGAUGGUACACAUGUCAGAGGAUGGGUUCACAUGUCAGAGGAUGGGUACACAUGUCAGAGGAUGGGUACACAUGUCAGAGGAUGGGUACACAUGUCAGAGGAUGGUACACAUGUCAGAGGAUGGUACACAUGUCAGAGGAUGGUACACAUGUCAGAGGAUGGUACACAUGUCAGAGGAUGGUACACAUGUCAGAGGAUGGGUACACAUGUCAGAGGAUGGGUACACAUGUCAGAGGAUGGGUACACAUGUCAGAGGAUGGGUACACAUGUCAGAGGAUGGUACACAUGUCAGAGGAUGGUACACAUGUCAGAGGAUGGUACACAUGUCAGAGGAUGGGUACACAUGUCAGAGGAUGGUACACAUGUCAGAGGAUGGGUACACAUGUCAGAGGAUGGGUACACAUGUCAGAGGAUGGUACACAUGUCAGAGGAUGGUACACAUGUCAGAGGAUGGUACACAUGUCAGAGGAUGGGUACACAUGUCAGAGGAUGGUACACAUGUCAGAGGAUGGGUACACAUGUCAGAGGAUGGUACACAUGUCAGAGGAUGGUACACAUGUCAGAGGAUGGGUACACAUGUCAGAGGAUGGUACACAUGUCAGAGGAUGGGUGCACAUGUCAGAGGAUGGUACACAUGUCAGAGGAUGGUACACAUGUCAGAGGAUGGUACACAUGUCAGAGGAUGGGUACACAUGUCAGAGGAUGGUACACAUGUCAGAGGAUGGGUACACAUGUCAGAGGAUGGUACACAUGUCAGAGGAUGGGUACACAUGUCAGAGGAUGGUACACAUGUCAGAGGAUGGUACACAUGUCAGAGGAUGGGUACACAUGUCAGAGGAUGGGUACACAUGUCAGAGGAUGGUACACAUGUCAGAGGAUGGUACACAUGUCAGAGGAUGGUACACAUGUCAGAGGAUGGUACACAUGUCAGAGGAUGGUACACAUGUCAGAGGAUGGUACACAUGUCACUCUGUGUGUUUUAAACUGUUUUAUUGAACCUUUAUUUACCUGGACAAGUCAGUUAUUUGAAAUGACUGUGUGUGUGUGA